rnacentral:rRNA from 1 species
UUGGAAGUAAAAGUNGUAACAAGGUUUCCGUAGGUGAACCUGCGGAAGGAUCAUUACCGAGUUUUCGGGCUUCGGCUCGACUCUCCCACCCUUUGUGAACGUACCUCUGUUGCUUUGGCGGCUCCGGCCGCCAAAGGACCUCCAAACUCCAGUCAGUAAACGCAGACGUCUGAUAAACAAGUUAAUAAACUAAAACUUUCAACAACGGAUCUCUUGGUUCUGGCAUCGAUGAAGAACGCAGCGAAAUGCGAUAAGUAAUGUGAAUUGCAGAAUUCAGUGAAUCAUCGAAUCUUUGAACGCACAUUGCGCCCCUUGGUAUUCCGGGGGGCAUGCCUGUUCGAGCGUCAUUACAACCCUCAAGCUCUGCUUGGAAUUGGGCACCGUCCUCACUGCGGACGCGCCUCAAAGACCUCGGCGGUGGCUGUUCAGCCCUCAAGCGUAGUAGAAUACACCUCGCUUUGGAGUGGUUGGCGUCGCCCGCCGGACGAACCUUCUGAACUUUUCUCAAGGUUGACCUCGGAUCAGGUAGGGAUACCCGCUGAACUUAAGCAUAUCAAUAAGCGGAGGAA